ACUCACUGGGCUUUCUUUCACAGCACUGGGUGAAGGCAGUCUACUUCAGGAGAAGCAAUGUGAUUUACCAAGCUAAGUAUUUCAUUUUUUCUAUCACAAAGGAUGGGAGGGUGGAUGUGUGAAUCUGUGCACUUUAAGAAGUGAUUUUUUCAAAAGCAGUCUAAAAUAAAACUAAGUUCAGAGAUUCUUAUUUUGAAUGUUUUAUUAUGUUGAAUUUAAAUAUAAACUCUUCAGAGUAUAAAAACCAGGUAAAUCUUACAGCUGACGCAGAGAUAGAAGCCUGUUAACACAUAUACAUUACUAUCUUAAACUACCUUCUUAAACCGAUCAGUUUAACUUACCAUAACGGAAAUAUCUAAAAUUUAGAAAAGGAACAAAGUUUUUAUUUCCCUAAAGCCCUUAAUUCAGGUCUUAGGCUAGAACUUCAUUUUUUAAAAGUUAUUUUUAAAAAAUAUUUAAUACUUUAUUCAUACAGAAAUGCCCUGUAUUGUAUGGACUCUGUAUUAUAUAGUCUGUAGCUGUGCUGAGGACAGUGUUGACUACUAAAGGCAAAGUCUUAAAAUGAAAAGUUCAUCUACUGUUAGGCAAGUCCCAUUAAGUUAGGAAGUUAUUAGACCCCUGGAAGCUGAUGCCUGAUUUCCUCCUCAAAAUUUUUUUAACUUAUUGACAGAUAAAAAUCUGCUCUGCUGUAAUCAAGAGAUUUCCUGUUGAGAUUAAAACUGAGAACUUCAUUUUUUAAAUAAAGAAUAAUCAAAACAAUUUUAUAAACUGAGUGGCUUUCCAAAGCUAAUUUUCUACUAGAUGCAAUGAAAUUAUAGAUAGUAUUACUGUUCUCAAUCAUCAUUUUAGUUUGUUUUAAAAUCAGUCAUAUUUCUAGGGUUUUUUUCUAUAUUCCCCCAAUAAAAAGGCAAGUCAACUAUGUAAUCUUCAUUAUUAAUAUGAUGACCUAACAUAUUAUGCAGGUGCUCAGUUGCUGAGGUUAGCAUGUCAGAAUUGAUCAAUGAAAAAAUUCAUAGUUUGAAUCACAGUGGACUCCACCUGCCACAUUAAAGCAGUAGAACAGAAGAGACAUGAAAAUGACACAGUAUUAAUCUAUCAUCUACCUUUUAACAGCUGAUGGAAACACAUACACUGUAUCUAUCAUCUAUCUACCCAUUUAUAUUUAUGUAUAUAUGUAUUAUAUAUCUUACACAUUAGAUAUGUAUUAUACACAUUAAAAUGAGGAGCACAUAGUCAUCUAGUAUAAAAAUAGCUAAAUCACUGUGAUAAGUUCCAAGAAAGACAAGAACAGGGUGCCAGGUUUGUGUACAAUAUGAGCACCAUGGUUUCAUAAGUUGGUAGCUAAGUAUUGAAACUGACUGAUGAUGUUAUUUAUGUUUGAAUUAUAAGGUCAUGAAAUCCCAGAACCGGAAGAGAUCUUUAAAAUCAUCUAGUCCAACCAGUCAUUCACUGCUUGAAUUUUUCUUAUUAUUCACUUGACCAUUGCUGAUAUUUGACUAUUUUUUGACUUACAAACACAGCAUUUUUAUACAGUUCAACCUAAUACAAACAUUUAUUAAGUUUGGUGCUGGGCCAGGACCACAUAAGAUGGAUUAGUCAAGACAACCCUACCCAACUCUUUAUACAGGGGAGAAAUGUGAAACCAAAUAAUUAUAACAUAGUGACUAUUUGUAGAAAUAAAAUGGCUAAAGUGGCCUCACCUAUCCAAAAUGAACAGGCUUGGUGCUGAGUUGAGUGGUCAAAUUGUGUGAUCUAAUGCAACAGUUCAAAACUCCAUCAAACUCUAUGAGGCUAUUCGUAACCAAUGAGGGAUUCACUACAGAGACAUGAAUUUCGGCCACUUUCUAGCUUGAGCUCAUGGCUAAAUAGUGAAGCAUUUACUCGUGCUUCUCCAGCUUCUUGGAGAACUCACUCAUGCUGCAGGAAAAGAUUACAAUUUUACCAGUCACUUCAGUCUCUAUCCCAAAAGCUGUGUUUCCCAUAGCACAUGGCUAUGGGUUCAUAGACAUUGAAGGUUAAGUAGAAAUUACUCUUAGAAGCAACUUCUAUUGACCACGAUCCCACCUGUUAGAAAUAGGUCCUAACUGUGUAAAUGAUGAAAGGACUAUCUUUCCUUGGUAUUUAAUUCUAUUGGCUUCAGUUAGUCACUUGAAACUGCACAAGAUGGAGAUGAAUUCCUUAAUGUUCUUAUUUCAGCACAUAACAUACACAGUGCUAGGCUGGCAUCAGAAAAUAGAUAUGCUAUGGCCCCUGUCCUCAAGUUAUGCUAAAGUCCUCUUAAGUCUAAAUACUUUAAAAAGGUUUGAUGAGUGUAAUAUAUUCAUCCAUCCAUCCAUCAUUUAUGAAGCACUGACUAACGUCAGGCAUUUUCCUGAACUCUGGGAUAAGUGGGAAAUAAGACAAAGUCCCUGCUGCCACCCCACCCUUACCAUGUAUAUAUUUAUUGGAACAAUAUACUGAAUUUUCAAAAGGACAUUCCACUUAUGUGCUUUUUUCAUUUGUUUCAGCAACCGGAGAAAACUGUAUCACUCAGAAUCUGAGUGGUGGCAGAGACUAUAACUGCCUUGUUCGCUGCUAUAUCUGCAACGCUAAAAGUAUACUGUCUGCCACAUACAACUGGAGAGCCUGUAUCACUCAGAAUCUGAGAGGCAGCUCCUGACUUGAAAAUGAUCAUUGUGUGUAAUGUAGAUCGAGUCUUGCUCUGUCACCCAGGCUGGAGUGCAGUGGUGUGAUCUGCAGCCUCAAAAUCCUGGACCAAAGCAAUCCUCCCACCUUAGCCUCCCAAGUAGUUGGGAUUACAGAAGUGAGCUACUAUGACCAGCUUCAAAUUUCUUUAAUAGCUUAAACCUGUCCAAGCAAGAUGAGAAACAUAACACCUAGUCUAUUAUCUCACUGGUUCCAUGAUUUUAUGAGUCAGAGCGAACUGAAGUUUGGCUCAAAUCAAAGUUUAUGUUAUUGCUCCUGCAUUCUUCUUUUGAAUCAUAAUAAAAAUCUCAUCCAACAAGGAA